UACCAGCUCUUCGAGUGGUGUGGAUGUUUAUUGGGCCUAAAGCAUCCGUAGCUGGCUGGGCAAGUCCCCUGUUAAAUCCACCGAUUUAAUCGUUGGAGUGCGGGGGAUACUGUUCGGCUAGGGGACGGGAGAGGCAGACGGUAUUUUCGGGGUAGGGGUGAAAUCCUAUAAUCCCGGGAAGACCACCAGUGGCGAAGGCUGUCUGCUAGAACGCGCCCGACGGUGAGGGAUGAAAGCUGGGGGAGCGAACCGGAUUAGAUACCCGGGUAGUCCCAGCUGUAAACGAUGCAGGCUAGGUGUUUGGGCGGCCACGUGCCGCUCUAGUGCCGCAGGGAAGCCGUUAAGCCUGCCGCCUGGGGAUACGGCCGCAAGGCUGAAACUUAAAGGAAUUGGCGGGGAGCACCACAAGGGGUGAAGCUUGCGGUUU
rnacentral:rRNA from 1 species